UAUGAAGCGCCUGCCUGAAAGGAUAAUUUUGAUAGAGUUAAUCAUGUGUAAUUACACCUUCAUAA
rnacentral:tRNA from 1 species